GGAUGUGAGGGCAAUCUGGCUGUGACAUCUGUGACCCUACUAAUCACCAGGGUUGAUCUGGCAGGGCUGGCUGGUUGGCGGGUGUCCCCUUCCUCCAUCACUGCUCCAGGUGCAUCUCCUCCUGAAGCUGCAUGCUCAGUGGAAGAGAACCACCACUCCCAACAGAGGAGAAACAUUUCCUGAGUCAAAGGUAGCCGAGUAGCUGUGUUCCCCUGCUACAAUCUCCAAACAAGCUUACAAAAUAAAAAUAUAAAGAGGCUGGGGAGUGGCCAUGGUGGUACAUGCCUGUAAUCCCAGCACUUGGGAAGCUAAGGUAG
ensembl:misc_RNA 7SK 7SK RNA